ACGAACGCUGGCGGCAUGCCUAACCCAUGCCAGUCGAACGAGACCUUCGGGUCUAGUGGCGCCCGGGUGCGUAACGCGUGGGAACCUGCCCUUAGGUUCGGAAUAACUCCCCGAAAGGGGUGCUAAUACCGGAUAAUGUCUUCGGACCAAAGAUUUAUCGCCUUUGGAUGGGCCCGCGUUGGAUUAGCUAGUUGGUAGGGUAAAAGCCUACCAAGGCGACGAUCCAUAGCUGGUCUGAGAGGAUGAUCAGCCACACUGGGACUGAGACACGGCCCAGACUCCUACGGGAGGCAGCAGUGGGGAAUAUUGGACAAUGGGCGAAAGCCUGAUCCAGCAAUGCCGCGUGAGUGAUGAAGGCCUUAGGGUUGUAAAGCUCUUUUACCCGGGAUGAUAAUGACAGUACCGGGAGAAUAAGCUCCGGCUAACUCCGU
rnacentral:rRNA from 1 species